CAGGUUUUAACUGUCACUCACGACCCGUCGUAAAAUCCAUUUAGUCUACAUGAUGUCUUCACCACUACAUUGCACCAUUAUACUUUUUUUUUUAUAUUGUUCUAGACAAAACUAGCUCCUCUAUUUGCGUUGCAUUGUGGGAUAAGAGUUAUUGUUUUCGCAAUAAAAACGCAUCUCAUUUUGAAAACUUUUAUCUACACUACUGGACCUGGGAGGGAUGAGGGUUAAUGGACCCCCUGCCCUUUUAGGAAUAAAAGGAUGUAUCUGGAGAGGCGAGAGCAGGUGAGCUAAUUAGUGGGAGAGUACCUGGGUGCCAUUACGUCCUUGGACAACUCCAGCCAGAAAAAGAAGGUGCUGCUGGGUAAUGUAGUUUUAAUGAUUUGAGCCGCUGUUUGUGUGGGAGAGGAGUGGAGACGCAGAGCAGAGAACUGCGUUGAACAGGUGCUGCUGAGAGUCAUACAGUGGAACAAGACCGGACCUGCACAUGGCUAAAGGUUGAAGAUAUUGGCCACAGCUUCUUUACUGUUUUUUGCAUUUUUUCUGUAUUGUUUUCUAUGUUGAUCUCUACUGUUUUCCUAGUUAUAGUUUUUCUUUUUGUUACUGUUUCUUUGUUUCCUGGCAGUUUUUUCUAUUCUUUGAUUUAAGUUACUGUGGCUUAAGUUUGUAUUUAGUUGUUUUUUUUGCGUUUUCAAAGCCUUACGGGUUGUUAGUUUUAUUUAUUGUUUUCUGUGGAUGUAACUACUAACACUUAAUUAGCUGUUUCCUUUUUUGUCCUGGUAGUUUGGGCUUCUAUUUUGUGAUUUCAGUAAUACUCAACUGUUUUGUGCUUUCUUAAUCUAUUGUGCUUGGUAAUCCAUUUUAUUUUUAUCUGUAUUAAAUCUGGAAUUGUUUAAACUAGCACUUUAUAGUACAGAAUGUUAUUUAUUUAUGUUAUA